GCAAACCCUAACAAUGAACAUGAGGCUCAGAAUAAUUUCCAUAGCAAGGGAAGCAACCAAUCACGUCUCCUGAACCUGACUAGCCAUAGGCCACUCAGGAAGCAUAAAACAAGCCAACUUCCAAUGGCCAUCGACAGGAGAAAUUAUGAGGUAGACCUGGUUUAAGAGAUUGGCUGUAAACUGAGCCAAUAAAAUCCUACCACAUCAGCUGAGAUUUUUACCGAAUAAAAUAAUUAAAAAAACCAAACCAACCCUAGGAAUCCGACAUGGGGGAGUUGGUGGGAGGAGCGCUCGAGAGCGUCGGGGGUGGAGGAGAGGUGGGCAAGGUAGGGGUGGAGAGCGGCUGGGCGGGCGUGCUCCAGGAGGCGGCGGCGGAGGCAAAUUUCUGCAAAUUAAAUGGGCUAGUAAGUUUUCAUUGUUUUUGACAUGCCCAAGACCAGAUACCAGAGGCAUAAUUUAAGAGCUUGUUAUUUCAGUGCCCUGACAGAAGCAAUGGAUCCUAUCUGCUCCCAAAGAGUCACAGGAACAGCAAAAUCUACAAAAAGGAUCCACAAGAAGACAGGCUAUGCAUGAUUUUAGCGAGUUCUCUAUAUCCAUGGACAGAGGAAAAGUAAAUGAUUUCAACAGAAAGCAAUAAUAUGUGACCUGAUCCCAGAGUUAGUCAUACAUUCCGGUGAAGUAGUAUUCAACUGGAACUGCAUUUCUAGUAAAUUUAUCAUCAAUCAAAGGAACAUUGAAGAGGUGAAACAACUACUACAGCAAAUUCUAGCAUCAAGAAAUACAAGUGAAAGAAGAAAAGAAUACAAAUGAAUCAAACAU
rnacentral:lncRNA from 1 species